rnacentral:rRNA from 1 species
CCGUCUAUAUACGUAUAGCAUAUCAAUAAGCGGAGGAAAAGAAACUAACUAGGAUUCCCUCAGUAACGGCGAGUGAAGCGGGAAGAGCUCAAAUUUGAAAUCUUCAAGGUUCUACCUUGACGAAUUGUAGUUUAAAGAAGUGUUUUCUGUUGGAGUUUUGGUAAAAGUUCUUUGGAAUAGGACAUCAUAGAGGGUGAGAAUCCCGUAUUUGACCAGUUACUUUCCAAGCUGUGUGAUACACUUUCAAAGAGUCGGAUUGUUUGGGAAUGCAGUCCAAAAUGGGUGGUAAAUUUCAUCUAAAGCUAAAUACUGGCGAGAGACCGAUAGCGAACAAGUACCGUGAGGGAAAGAUGAAAAGAACUUUGAAAAGAGAGUUAAACAGUAACGGUGAAAUUGUCAAAAGGGAAGCGUUUGACACCAGUGUUGUUUUCUCGAAAAUCAAUUAAAAAUGGUGGGGAUUUUGUGUUGUAUUGACUUUAUCAGCUUUCUGCACUUUUUUCCUGUCUUUUUUAAUGCACUUUUCGUUUAACAAGUCAACAUCAAUUUCUUUUGUUGUAAAAGGGUCAUUGGAAGGUGGCUUUCUUUUCGGAGAAAGUGUUUAUAGCCUUUGACUUCUGCAAUCGGAGAGAUUGAGGUCUGCAGCGUAGAUCCUUCGGGGUUAGAUACAUUUGUGCUAAGUUAUAGCCUUUCAUAGACAACUUGUUGACUAUGAUCAGUCAUGUAGCUUACUCGCUUAUGUUAUUUUACCUACGCUUAGGAUGUUGACGAUCAGCUGAGCGCG